rnacentral:misc_RNA from 1 species
UCGAAUAAACUUGAACAGGCUGUUUGCUGGCUCUCCUUUGGGGGAGUAUUGUGCACGCUUGUCAUCUUUAUCUCUCCAACUGUGCACAUAUUGUAGACCUUGGGGAGUUGGAUUUGUUUCCGAGUUGGGACUGCUGCUGUGAAGUCGGCUUUUCCCUUGCAGGUCUAUGUCCUUUUUCACAAACCUCUGAAUCUGUUUAGAAUGUUACAAUAAAGUUAAAUAUA